UAAAGGCGAGGAAGCCUGCGGGAUGAAGACUUAAGGAUGAGGGGUCAGGAGCGCCAGGAGGCGAAGACCAGGAAACUGUCCGGAUGACAGUCUUAAAAGGGAAUAAAAGGACCACAACACGGAACGUGACAUGCUAAGGGAAAAACAGGGUGUGUUGUAAGCAAACAGGGAACGUUGUACCCAUUGAGGGUUGAGGGUCAGAAAAAAAGGCGACAGAUUACUCUGUCGCCUUUUUUCUUUGCUUGCUU
rnacentral:sRNA from 2 species